rnacentral:rRNA from 1 species
UACGGGGGGGGCAAGCAUUGUUCGGAAUUACUGGGCGUAAAGGGCUCGUAGGUGGCCAACUAAGUCGGACGUGAAAUCCCUCGGCUUAACCGGGGAACUGCGUCUGAUACUGGAUGGCUUGAGUUCGGGAGAGGGAUGCGGAAUUCCAGGUGUAGCGGUGAAAUGCGUAGAUAUCAGGAGGAACACCGGUGGCGAAGGCGGAUCUCUGGGCCUUACCUGACGCUCAGGUGCGAAAGCUAGGGGAGCGAACAGG